rnacentral:rRNA from 1 species
UACAGAGGUCUCAAGCGUUGUUCGGAUUCAUUGGGCGUAAAGGGUGCGUAGGUGGCGCGCUAAGUCAGGUGUGAAAUUUCGGAGCUUAACUCCGAAACUGCAUUUGAUACUGGCGUGCUUGAGGACUGGAGAGGAGACUGGAAUUCAUGGUGUAGCAGUGAAAUGCGUAGAGAUCAUGAGGAAGACCAGUGGCGAAGGCGGCUCACUGGACCGGUACUGACGCUGAUGCGCGAAAGCGUGGGGAGCAAACAGG